UGUUAUGGAGUUAAUAAGAACCUGCUUUGAUUGAUGUGUCACAGGACCAAUGGGGUCAAGUUUGUUUGACCGGGACUUCCUUCUUAGUCAGUGGAAUGCAGGGGAGUGUUGUCUGUUAGUGUGUGUGUUCGGCGUGAGCAUUCUCUGGAGAUGGACUAUGAAUGCUAUGCUCUGAAGCCAGGAAAUGCAACUGUAAAUAGUUAUGUAAAUAAAGUUUAACAACAGUUGGAUUUUCAACUGACCCCUUCGCCUGCUGGAGUGUUUGUUUGACCAGUGCUGAUUCUCCGCAUGGGAAGACAGCCUGGAGAACGAGGUUUCACAUUCUUACAGAGACACCAUGUAUUGCAUAGUACUGAUGAUAUAAGCACACCUCAGUAAGCAACGUUUUGUAAAAUUUUCUCAUGCCUACCCAGUUCAUCUCAUAUUCUUUGCAUGAGGAAGCUCUUGGAAGAGGAACUGGAAAAACACAGACUUUUGACAUAAGGAUGCAUCAUUCUGCCUGCAGUAAAUAAUGCUAUUGUUAGGUAAGGGGAGCAGGAAAGUGUUCAUGAAUCUGAGGGUGAGUUGGAAUCUGAGGAGGAGAUUUUGCAAGUACCCACAUUUCAGGAAAGGCGAAAGGAAACAGAGCAGAGAUGUCAUUCAGCUAGAAUAGCUGCCAGAAAUGCAGCAGAGUAAUUAGGAACUGCCCUAGCAUCUGUGAGGGGACUCAGGGCUAUAAAGCAGAAGCAGGUGCAGCCAGCUCUUGCUGGUAACAAACUGACUCUUUGCUUCCCUUGUGCCUGCUUCAAGUCUGCAUCUGGGAAACUGCUCCUAAGGAUUUAUUGCUGUUUCUUUGUCUGAAGUAAGACUGCUAUUUGAUUUGGAAAUUUAACAGAGACUAAGAACUGUGUUUACCCUAAGACUUCCUUGCUUCCUUUUGCAUUAUCCCACUGAGUGUGAUGUACUUUAUGUUUUGCUGAAGUAAAGCAGUUUUCAUUUACUUACCACAGUGUUUUAAGGUUGUUCUUGAAAGACAAAACAGGACAGCUAUAAAGCUUGAGCUGGGAAAGGGCAGGAUUCACCUCUACUCAGUCCUGUCAUAGCUGUAUGUGCCUAUGUAUCACAGUCAAGGUUAACAGCAGCUGCCCUCAAGAUGUCUUUUUGAGUUCAUAUGAACAGCAAAAGAAAGGAAAGGGUGAAACAGACAACUCCUCUUCACCAGCUAACCCCAGCAUGUUGGACAAAGAUUGAGAAAAACAGAGGCUGAUGAAAGAAAAAGUGGUAUUGUACUUGGGUGUAUUUUGGAAGAAGCUUUCAAGUGGUCUCUAGAAGGUUCAAAUGCUUUUUGCUUAUGUAAGACUUACCUGGUCUACCUAUUUCAUUUCACAUACAUGCUGUAUUCAAUAAAAAUCUGAAACACAUUGAAUUUA